UCUUCGGUCUGGCGCGGCGCACCAGCGCGAACCGGGUCAGGGUCGGAAGACAGCAGCCCUAAGUGCCACGGAGCGGGUGCCGCCAGGAAGCCGGAGACGC
rnacentral:SRP_RNA from 1 species